rnacentral:rRNA from 13 species
GUCAACGCCGUUAGCCGCGCUGGAAACACUCGUUCCCGGCCGAUCACGAAAGUUAAGCAGCAGCGGUCACGGGAGCGGUCUAGGAUGGGUGACCGCUCCGUGAGGCGUUGACC